rnacentral:tRNA from 1 species
CGCGGAGUAGAGCAGCCCGGUAGCUCGCGAGGCUCAUAACCUCGAGGUCAUUGGUUCAAAUCCAUUCUCCGCAA